rnacentral:lncRNA from 1 species
AACUUCUUUCUUCUUCUCCUCCAUUUUAACUUGAGCCUCUCUUUCUCUUCUCUUUGUUUUCUUCACUUAUACUCACUAAAUCCACCAAUUUGACACCAUUCAACUUGAUCUAAUUAAUCAAUCUUUGAGAUUAAAGCUUGAGAAAUGAUAUUUGGUGAAUAAUUUCAAGUAAUUUGGAGGACAAAGGGUGGAUAACUUCCUACCAAAGACAAGGGAAAACUAAGGCUUCAAGAGUUUGAUUUAAGCUUGUUAGAGCUUAUGUUUAAGGUAAGUGUUCAUAAAUCCUCUUACCUUGUUUAAAUUUUUGAUUUUGUGAAGUUUAUACUAUUUUGUGAAAAUUGGGAAUUUGAUAUGAAAUGAUUUGAUUAUUGAACUUUGGUGGUAUAAAUGUGUUCUUGGGAGAUUUCUAAGCAUGCUUAUAUGUUGAAUUGAUAAGGAAAAUAAUUUCUUCUUCAUUCUUCAAGAGUGGCAGAACCCAUUGAUGAAUAAGGCCUUAAGUUUUCUUGUUAUUAUUUGUGGAUUUAUGAUCUUAAGAUGAUAUUUGAUGAGUAUUGAGUAUGUGGUAGAAAUCUCUACCUUGUAUAUGAUUUAAGUAAGCUGAAAUUAGGAAAAAGUGUUAUUGGGUGUGAUUAAGGACUGUUUUUCGAUCCUUUUGAUUUUCCAUUGGUGCCUGAGUCCUUCAUGAAAGUUUUAGGUCUACUU